AGAUUGGAUUUUUUUUUUUUUAAGAUUCUUCAGGUCCUUGCCAGAAGGUACAUUGAGCCAUGAUGCUAAUUUUUAUGAUUUUGAUAUUUGAUAAUAUGUUUUUGGUCAGGAGAUCUCUCUACGCUUCUUGUUUUCUUAGUUUCAGUAUUUAUGUAUUCAAAUGCAACUUUUUUUAUUUAUUUGAGACUAAGAAUUUCAUAAAUCGGGGAUUGCUCCUUUCAGUAGGUUUUUUUUUUUU
rnacentral:misc_RNA from 1 species